UUGCGGACAGUGUCUGGUGGGUAGUUUGACUGGGGCGGUCUCCUCCUAAAGAGUAACGGAGGAGCACGAAGGUUGGCUAAUCCUGGUCGGACAUCAGGAGGUUAGUGCACUGGCAUAAGAAAGCUUGACUGCGAGCGUGACGGCGCGAGCAGGUGCGAAAGCAGGUCAUAGUGAUCCGGUGGUUCUGAAUGGAAGGGCCAUCGCUCAACGGAUAAAAGGUACUCCGGGGAUAACAGGCUGAUACCGCCCAAGAGUUCAUAUCGACGGCGGUGUUUGGCACCUCGAUGUCGGCUCAUCACAUCCUGGGGCUGAAGUAGGUCCCAAGGGUAUGGCUGUUCGCCAUUUAAAGUGGUACGCGAGCUGGGUUUAGAACGUCGUGAGACAGUUCGGUCCCUAUCUGCCGUGGGCGCUGGAGAACUGAGGGGGGCUGCUCCUAGUACGAGAGGACCGGAGUGGACGCAUCACUGGUGUUCGGGUUGUCAUGCCAAUGGCACUGCCCGGUAGCUAAAUGCGGAAGAGAUAAGUGCUGAAAGCAUCUAAGCACGAAACUUGCCCCGAGAUGAGUUCUCCCUGAGACUUAGAGUCUCCUGAAGGAACGUUGAAGACGACGACGUUGAUAGGCCGGGUGUGUAAGCGCAGCGAUGCGUUGAGCUAACCGGUACUAAUGAACCGUGAGGCUUAACCUUACAACGCCGAAGCUGUU
rnacentral:rRNA from 1 species